UUUAUGUGUCAUGUUGACAAGGCCAUGGGUACCCAGUUAUGUGGUUAAACAUUAUUCUAGCCAUUUCUGUGAGGGGUUUUCUGAAUGAGAUUAACAUUUGAACCUGUGGACUGAGUAAAGCAGAGUGCCCUUGCUGAUGGGGUGGGCCUCAUCCAAUCCAUUGAGGAAGUGAAUAAAAUAAAGAGGCUGAGAAAGGGAAAAUUUGCUCUCUCUAUCUUGGAGCUGGACCACUGGUCUUCUUUUGCCCUCAGACUUGAACUUGGACUGGAACUUACACCAUCAGCUCUCCUGAUUCUCAGGCCUUUGGACUCAGUCUGGAACUCUACCAUCAGCUCUCCUGAUUCUCAGGCCUUUGGACUCAGUCUGGAACUCUACCAUCAGCUCUCCUGGGUCUCUUGCUGAAUACAGAUCUUGGGACUUCUCAGCCUUUGUAACUGUAGUGACUUCGAGCUGGGUACAUUCUAACUUAGAUGGCCUCAGCUGCAAAGCCAACUGGACUCCAGCCUUGCAGACCAGUGAGGAUGGAAAUGAUUGCAAAACCAAGAUGGACGAUGUUGAGAUGGACUCAACCCUGCUAUUGAGAUUGGCCCUUACAGGGGAGGAUAUUUGGUCUAGCGUUCAGAGUCUAAAGGCACAGAGUGAGAAUUUAUUUCAGGCAGAUAUCAAUAACCCCGAAGGCCCAGUCCAGCUGGUAGGGCAUACCUGAGAUGCAGGCAACGGGUAACAUGCAAAGUCAGGUGCACAGUGGGAUGUGGUUUGAGAGAUUAGUGCCCCUCCCCAGUGAGAUUUCCACAGCCAUCUGUGGGAUGGGGGACUGAGGCCAUUCUAGCUCCUUAGGAAGGGGCAAGAGGUCAUUGGAGGCAGGGACCUGGUGUGUAAGAGUACUGGGUGGGAAUCAGAUCAGGCAAGGACCAGGAGAGAUUGGCAGGGGGCUGAAGGGUCAGGCCUAGACACUGAGCCAGCAGGCAGUGCAGAGGGCUCAUGGCACCAGGGCUUACCCCAAGCACAAAGGCCUGAGAUGGAUUAGUCCCUAAUUUCAGACCUCUCUAGCUGUGGAUAGCUGACAUAUUUUCUUUCUCUGGGAUAAAUUAGAUGAGGACCUGGGAGGACCGCAUUUUCUGGGAGAAGCCCUGGAAUACAAGAUUUGAUAUACUUAAAGGGAGCUCACAUUCCCAUCAACCUGGAGCAACUCACCUGGGAAUGUCUGAGUUGGCCUCAAAGUCUCAGCCAAAUUCGGACCUGUCUAAGGAAUGUGGAAGCUGAAACCACCUUCACCUGGAUCUUUGCCCCGUGGCAACAUCCUUGCCCUGUGAAUUGCUGCCUACAUAUAUGGAAGUUGAAGAGAGGAGACAUGUUUUAGCCAAACAGAUAACAUAAAUGAUUUUUAUUAUGGAAUUAAAUAAUUAUGUAGAUAUAUUAGAGCAAAGUUAUUUUAUCUGGAUUGUAUUUUGGCCUAUGUGUCCUAUUCAACAACAAUCUUUUUAAAAAAAUUUACAUCCUCCUGCA
rnacentral:lncRNA from 1 species